rnacentral:rRNA from 1 species
ACGGAAUAGAUACCCCGGUAGUCCCAGCCGUAAACGAUGCUCGCUAGGUGUCAGGCAUGGCGCGACCGUGUCUGGUGCCGCAGGGAAGCCGUGAAGCGAGCCACCUGGGAAGUACGGCCGCAAGGCUGAAACUUAAAGGAAUUGGCGGGGGAGCACAACAACGGGUGGAGCCUGCGGUUUAAUUGGACUCAACGCCGGACAACUCACCGGGGGCGACAGCAAUAUGUAGGCCAAGCUGAAGACUUUGCCUGAAUCGCUGAGAGGAGGUGCAUGGCCGUCGCCAGUUCGUACUGUGAAGCAUCCUGUUAAGUCAGGCAACGAGCGAGACCCGUGCCCACUGUUACCAGCAUGUCCUGGAGU